UACUGCUAGAGGGUCGGCCUUGACUCAC
rnacentral:sRNA from 1 species